rnacentral:rRNA from 1 species
GACAGAGGUGCCGAGCGUUAGGCGGAAUCACUGGGCUUAAAGCGUGUGUAGGCGGAUCUGUAAGUACCUUGUGAAAUCCCACGGCUCAACCGUGGAACUGCUUGGUAUACUGCGGGUCUUGAGCAACCUAGGGGCAAGUGGAACAAACGGUGGAGCGGUGAAAUGCGUAGAUAUCGUUUGGAACGCCAAUGGUGAAAACAACUUGCUGGGGGUGUGCUGACGCUGAGACACGAAAGCCAGGGGAGCAAACGGG